CCUACGGGAGGCAGCAGUGGGGGAUAUUGCACAAUGGGGGAAACCCUGAUGCAGCGACGCCGCGUGGGCGAAGAAGUAUUUCGGUAUGUAAAGCCCUAUCAGCAGGGAAGAAGAAAUGACGGUACCUGAGUAAGAAGCACCGGCUAAAUACGUGCCAGCAGCCGCGGUAAUACGUAUGGUGCAAGCGUUAGCCGGAUUUACUGGGUGUAAGGGGAGCGCAGGCGGCAGGGCAAGCCUGAUGUGAAAGCCCGGGGCCCAACCGCGGGACUGCAUUGGGAACUACCGGGCUGGAGUGCCGGAGAGGUAGGCGGAAUUCCUAGUGUAGCGGUGAAAUGCGUAGAUAUUAGGAGGAACACCAGUGGCGAAGGCGGCCUACUGGACGGUGACUGACGCUGAGGCUCGAAAGCGUGGGGAGCAAACAGGAUUAGAUACCCGAGUAGUC
rnacentral:rRNA from 1 species